rnacentral:misc_RNA from 1 species
UCCUGGUUAACCCAGGCAGUCUCGUUAGAGUUCCCGCCUUCACGCGCUGGUAACUAACGAUAAGGGUUGCGCUCGUUGCCGGACUUAACCAAACACCUCACGGCACGAGCUGACGACAGCCAUGCAGCACCUAUGUAAAGACCCUUUCGAGAAACAUCAUCUCUGAUGCUGUCCUCUACAUUUCGAGCCCAGGUAAGGUUCUUCGCGUUGCAUCGAAUUAAACCACAUGCUCCACUGCUUGUGCGGGCCCCCGUCAAUUCUUUUGAGUUUCACCCUUGCGAGCGUACUCCCCAGGCGGCAUACUUAACGCGUUAGCUCCGAUACAGGAAGGGUUGAGCCCUCCUACACCUAGUAUGCAUCGUUUAAGGCAAGGACUAC